rnacentral:rRNA from 1 species
UAAUGUAUGGGGAUCUGCCCGAUAGAGGGGGGUAACUACUGGAAACGGUGGCUAAUACCGCAUAAUGUCUACGGACCAAAGCAGGGGCUCUUCGGACCUUGCACUAUCGGAUGAACCCAUAUGGGAUUAGCUAGUAGGUGGGGUAAAGGCUCACCUAGGCGACGAUCUCUAGCUGGUCUGAGAAGAUGAUCAGCCACACUGGGACUGAGACACGGCCCAG